rnacentral:rRNA from 1 species
AUUGAACGCUGGCGGCAGGCCUAAUACAUGCAAGUCGAACGGUAACAUAAAGAAGCUUGCUCUUUUGAUGACGAGUGGCGGACGGGUGAGUAAUAUUUGGGAAACUACCUGAUAGAGGGGGGACAACAGUUGGAAACGACUGCUAAUACCGCAUAAAGCCUAAGGGUGAAAGCAGCAAUGCGCUAUCAGAUGUGCCCAAACGGGAUUAGCUAGUAGGUGAGGUAAAGGCUCACCUAGGCGACGAUCUCUAGCUGGUCUGAGAGGAUGAUCAGCCACAUUGGGACUGAGACACGGCCCAGACUCCUACGGGAGGCAGCAGUAGGGAAUAUUGCACAAUGGAGGAAACUCUGAUGCAGCCAUGCCGCGUGUGUGAAGAAGGCCUUCGGGUUGUAAAGCACUUUCGGAGGGGAGGAAAAGAUGACGUUACCCUCAGAAGAAGCACCGGCUAACUCCGUG